GGAUGCUGUUUUCAAAUGCGGUUGUAGCUGAGUUGGUAGACUGAUUUCAGUUCCCUUUUCUUUCGACUGAAAUAGGUCUGCUAACUAAUGUUACAAUCAGCAUUAUCUGCGGGAAUCAU
rnacentral:precursor_RNA from 10 species